rnacentral:rRNA from 1 species
AUUCCAGCUCCAAUAGCGUAUAUUAAAGUUGUUGCGGUUAAAAAGCUCGUAGUUGGAUUUCUGCUGAGGACGACCGGUCCGCCCUCUGGGUGAGUAUCUGGCUCGGCCUUGGCAUCUUCUUGGGGAACGUAACUGCACUUGACUGUGUGGUGCGGUAUCCAGGACUUUUACUUUGAGGAAAUUAGAGUGUUUCAAGCAGGCGCACGCCUUGAAUACAUUAGCAUGGAAUAAUAAGAUAGGACCUUGGUUCUAUUUUGUUGGUUUCUAGAGCUGAGGUAAUGAUUGAUAGGGAUAGUUGGGGGCAUUCGUAUUUAACUGUCAGAGGUGAAAUUCUUGGAUUUAUGGAAGACAAACUAAUGCGAAAGCAUCUACCAAGGAUGUUUUCAUCA